CCUACGGGAGGCAGCAGUGGGGGAUAUUGCACAAUGGGGGAAACCCUGAUGCAGCGACGCCGCGUGGGGGAAGAAGGGUUUCGGAGUGUAAAGCCCUGUCAUCAGGGAAGAAAAUGACGGUAACUGAAGAAGAAGCACCGGCUAACUACGUGCCAGCAGCCGCGGUAAUACGGAGGGGGCAAGCGUUAUCCGGAUGUACUGGGUGUAAAGGGAGCGUAGGCGGGGAUGCAAGUCAGGAGUGAAAUCCCGGGGCCGAACCCCGGAACUGGUUUUGAAACUGUGUGUCUGGAGUACAGGAGGGGCAGGCGGAAUUCCUGGUGUAGCGGUGAAAUGCGUAGAGAUCAGGAGGAACACUGGUGGCGAAGGCGGCCUGCUGGACCGCAACUGACGCUGAGGCGCGAAAGCGUGGGGAGCAAACAGGAUUAGAUACCCGGGUAGUC
rnacentral:rRNA from 1 species